rnacentral:rRNA from 1 species
UACGGAGGGGGCGAGCGUUGUUCGGAAUCAUUGGGCGUAAAGGGCGCGUAGGCGGCCUUGAAAGUCAGAUGUGAAAGCCCUUGGCUUAACCAAGGAACUGCAUCUGAAACUGCUAGGCUUGAAUUCGGGAAGGGAGAGUGGAAUUCCCAGUGUAGCGGUGAAAUGCGUAGAUACUGGGAGGAACACCGGUGGCGAAGGCGGCUCUCUGGACCGAUAUUGACGCUGAGGCGCGAAAGCUAGGGGAGCAAACGGG